rnacentral:rRNA from 5 species
UGGCGGCAGUAGCGCGGUGGUCCCACCUGACCCCAUGCCGAACUCAGAAGUGAAACGCCGUAGCGCCGAUGGUAGUGUGGGGUCUCCCCAUGCG